rnacentral:lncRNA from 1 species
GGCCCAAGUUUGAUACAGAUACCACUCGGCAUACCGAGGUAAAGUUUUUCAAGCGUCAUCAGGACUGGCACCAGGACUGGCAGGCUCCACAAAGGUCUCAAGAUCGAUCCCGUCCGCGAUACGAGUGGCUGUCUCGAGGAAGGUCUCCAUGAAAUCUUCGAAUCGAAGCUUCUUGGUGUUGGCGACCUGCAACGCCUUCA